rnacentral:rRNA from 1 species
AUUGAACGCUGGCGGCAGGCCUAACACAUGCAAGUCGAGCGGUUGAAGGGAGCUUGCUCCUGGAUUCAGCGGCGGACGGGUGAGUAAUGCCUAGGAAUCUGCCUGGUAGUGGGGGACAACGUUUCGAAAGGAACGCUAAUACCGCAUACGUCCUACGGGAGAAAGCAGGGGACCUUCGGGCCUAGCGCUAUCAGAUGAGCCUAGGUCGGAUUAGCUAGUUGGUGAGGUAAUGGCUCACCAAGGCGAAGAUCCGUAACUGGUCUGAGAGGAUGAUCAGUAGCGCUGGAACUGAGAGCCGGUCCAGACUCCUACGGGAGGCAGCAGUGGGGAAUAUUGGCCAAUGGGCGAAAGCCUGAUCCAGCCAUGCCGCGUGUGUGAAGAAGGUAUUCGGAUUGUAAAUCACUUUAAGUUGGGAGGAAGGGUUGUAGAUUAAUACUCUGCAAUUUUGACGUUACCGACAGAAUAAGCACCGGCUACCUCUGUGCCAGCAGCCGCCGUAAAAC